AUUGAACGCUGGCGGCAUGCCUUACACAUGCAAGUCGAACGGCAGCACGGGUGCUUGCACCUGGUGGCGAGUGGCGAACGGGUGAGUAAUACAUCGGAACAUGUCCUGUAGUGGGGGAUAGCCCGGCGAAAGCCGGAUUAAUACCGCAUACGAUCCACGGAUGAAAGCGGGGGACCUUCGGGCCUCGCGCUAUAGGGUUGGCCGAUGGCUGAUUAGCUUGUUGGUGGGGUAAAGGCCUACCAAGGCGACGAUCAGUAGCUGGUCUGAGAGGACGACCAGCCACACUGGGACUGAGACACGGCCCAGACUCCUACGGGAGGCAGCAGUGGGGAAUUUUGGACAAUGGGCGAAAGCCUGAUCCAGCAAUGCCGCGUGUGUGAAGAAGGCCUUCGGGUUGUAAAGCACUUUUGUCCGGAAAGAAAUCCUUGGCUCUAAUACAGUCGGGGGAUGACGGUACCGGAAGAAUAAGCACCGGCUAACUACGUG
rnacentral:rRNA from 1 species